rfam:Betaproteobacteria bacterium 13_1_40CM_4_64_4 13_1_40cm_4_scaffold_1406, whole genome shotgun sequence.
CGGGGAUUGCGAGCAGACUCCCCGUUCUCCCAAGACGCUCUCCGCGUCCAAGCUCUGC